rfam:Drosophila ficusphila unplaced genomic scaffold scf7180000453850, whole genome shotgun sequence
GCCUUCCUUGUCUUGGGGAGCAGAAAUGUUCAAUGAACGUAUAGUGAGGACAUUGCUGCUGACACCAAUGAUAAUACCCCCGCUCGCCGGUCGUUCGCGAUUGGCGUUCGGAAUUUUUGGACCA